UACGUAGGGGGCAAGCGUUGUCCGGAUUUAUUGGGCGUAAAGAGCGUGUAGGCGGCCAGGUAGGUCUGCUGUGAAAACUCGAGGCUCAACCUCGAGACGUCGGCGGAAACCAUCUGGCUAGAGUCCGGAAGAGGAGAGUGGAAUUCCUGGUGUAGCGGUGAAAUGCGCAGAUAUCAGGAAGAACACCCGUGGCGAAGGCGGCUCUCGUGGGACGGU
rnacentral:rRNA from 1 species